GGGUCGCCGCUCCGCCGGGACGCGUUGGCCGGGGCGCGCGGUGCUUGGCUGCGGUGCUCACACUCAUGAGGAGCCGGAAGCUCACAGGUGCAGUGCGGUCUUCAGCGCGCUUGAAAGCACGAAGUUGUUCGGCAGCCAGGUUGGCCUCUGCCCAGGAAGUUGCUGGUUCCACGUCUGCCAAGACAGCAUGUCUGCGUGCUAUGGAGUCAUGCUGGCCCAUUGCCGUGCAGCCUCACCGCCAGAGGCUUGAAGAGAAAGGCAGAGUGGGUGGGGAAAGGAAUCUCAUGCCGUCUGCCGUUCACCCUAGCCCAGCCAUCGAUUCCGAGGAGCGAGUUCCUGAACUUACCGACUUCCUCAUCCCACAAAGCCACAGACACGCGAACGUCCAAGAAGUUCAAAUGUGACAAAGGACAUCUUGUGAAGUCAGAAUUACAGAAGCUUGUCCCUAAGAAUGACAGCGCUUCUUUGCCAAAAGUGACACCUGAGACCCCUUGUGAAAAUGAGUUUGCUGAAGGCAGUGCCUUGCUUCCAGGCAGCGAGGCUGGCGUUUCUGUGCAGCAGGGGGCUGCAAGUCUUCCUCUCGGUGGCUGCAGAGUUGUGAGUGACUCUCGCUUAGCAAAGACUAGAGAUGGCCUGUCCGUGCCAAAACACAGUGCCGGGUCCGGAGCAGAAGAAUCCAACAGCAGCUCCACUGUGCAGAAGCAGAAUGAGCCAGGGCUACAGACAGAGGAUGUGCAGAAGCCACCACUUCAGAUGGACAACAGCGUCUUUCUAGAUGACGACAGCAAUCAGCCAAUGCCCGUGAGCCGGUUCUUUGGAAACGUUGAGCUCAUGCAGGACCUCCCACCUGCGUCUUCAUCUUGUCCUUCAAUGAGCAGACGAGAGUUCAGAAAAAUGCAUUUCAGAGCCAAAGAUGAUGAUGAUGACGACGACGAUGAUGCAGAAAUGUAGGGGCCAUACAAAAUAAUGUCCUUGAGUAUUUAGUACCAUUAACAAUUUGACAAUUUAGCACAUUACAAGAUUUAUAUAAAAUGUAUCUCCAAGAGAAUGUCUUAAUCAAACUUCAGAACUGACCCAUCUAAGUCAAUAGUGCAAAGCACCCAAUACCUGUGGAGGAUGUACUCAUGGGAACUAAAACUCAAACCAUCUUUGAGGUUGCAAAGCUGCUGUACUGUGCCAAUGUCCUUUCUUUUUUUUUUUUUUUUUUUUUCCUUGGAGACAGAGUUUCUCUCUUGUCGCCCAGGCUGGAGUGCAAUGGCGCAAUCUCGGCUCACUGCAACCUCCACCUCCUGGGUUCAAGUGAUUCUCCUGCCUCAGCCUCCUGAGUAGCUGGGAUUACAGGCAUACACCACCACACCCAGCUAGUUUUUGUAUUAUUAGUAGACACGGGGGUUUCUCCACGUUGGCCAGGCUGGUCUCAAACUCCUGACCUCGUGAUACGCCCGCCUCAGCCUCCCAAAGUGCUGGGAUUACAGGCGCGAGCCACCAUGCCCGGCCAGUGUCCUUUCUUAUACACGUACAUACAUGAUGAUGGCUUGAGUCAGCUGCAGGGCAGUGGGCUUAAUGAGAGGGAUCUUUGUAAAGACAGCUCUUCACUUCAGCUCAGUAGCUUUGGUCAUAGGCAAGUUUGUUUUCCAUUAUCAUAAUUUGAUGAUUCUUGUGAUGAAUUCAAUGCUAGUUCUUAAAGAACUCUUUUAUUUCUGUAUGUGGAGCUAAUGUUUACCUUGGAAAUUUUGCAAAAUACAUGUAAGAAAGAAAUAAAAUAUAUUUUGAAAAUAUUUUGAAA
rnacentral:lncRNA from 10 species